UCGAAUUUUUUUUCCCAGUACGGAUGGGGCAGACGGCUCCUCCGACGAUAAAACGUUUUUUCAGGGGACCGAACCCCCAGCCGCAUUUUGAAAUUUUGCUCUCUCUCUCUCUCUCUUGUUUGCUUCCUGUUUCCUCCUUGAGCCUUUUGGAUUUGAGGAGCUCUUUUCGUCUCAUUUCUUUCGAUUUUGAGGUCUUUUGGGCGCAUUUAGCACAUUUUCUUUGUAGAUUAGCCUUUCUUAGAUCUUUACCCUUUGAAUCUUCUAGUUCAGACAUGGCGGAUCAGGAGCAGUGGUGGACCGAAGACCAGCUUGUUUCCUGCUCGAAAGGAGCGCGUCAGACCUAUAUGGUUGGGACCUCUUGUUAUUUAUAUAACACCAAGAGAUGGACCGAGCUUUUAUCUCCAGUCCAGUUGCAAACCCUGGCUAGGAUAGGUUUAUGGGAGACCUGUAGGAUUAGACCAUUAUGUAUCACUGCCUUUUGACUGAGUUUUGUCUUCGAUGGAGAUUGGAGACAAACUCUUUUCCCUUCUCUACUGAGGAGAUGGGUCCCACCAUUGAGGAUCAUGGGAGUUUGGGGCGAUGGAGAGCCUUUCCUGAAUAUCCCUCUUGAGGAGGGCAAUCGUGAGGCCAUUAGGGACCUCCUAGGAGUUGCGCCCCCUCUUGAAAGCAAGAAAGGAAAAGAUCAUAUAUAUCUCAACUGACUUGAGAUCGACUUUGGAGGAGGAGUGGAGGCUCUCAGGGGCAGUCAGGGAAGUAGGUUGCAAAGAGUGCCAUCUCCUUCCAUUUAUGAUAUAUCAGGCGAUGCUGGUGAGGAUGAGGAGGUUGAUGAGGAGGCACUGACUGUGAGGGAUAGGAGGCUUAUUGCUCUUCGGACCAGGAGAUGACGUGAGCGCGAACUUUCGGCAGCUGAGCCCGAUCUUUUCACUACCCCAGUGGAUCUGGAGGCGGUGUACAUUCUUAUGCCUACAGAUGAGGUCCAGGGGCUGAGGGCCUUUUUAAUGUUUUUAUUUGGUGACUUUCUCUUCGUCGAUAGGUCGAAGGGAUGGGCUAAAUAUAAGAUAGCCUGGCCUACUGGAGAUUUGGAGCACCUGGAGAGAGUCGCUCGGGCUCCUGCUAUUCUUGCUUGGCUCUUCAAGUCGUAGGAUUGCUACAGAGGAGGUGACCAAUAUUGGAGGAUGUUUAGUCUUCCUUCAGAUCUGGGCAUGAGAGCAUGUUGCCUCGUCCCAUCCUGGGUGAGGUUAUCGAGCGGUUCCUCCACAUUCGCAUGUGGUCUUUGGAGCUGUGGGAACCAAUUGGCUUUACCCGUGUCCUUUCUUCUCCCUAUUCUUCGAUACCACAUCUGAGCGGGAGGUUAGUUGAAUUCCCCUUUUGAUUUUCUUUCCUUCUUUUGUCCUUUGAGAAUUUUUGGGUUACUUGACUCUGUUUUUCUUCUCUCUUUUUUCUCUCAUUGAGAUUACUUGGGCUGUUCCCCUAGAGGAUGAGGCUGACAUAUGUGAGGAGGCAGUCCCUGUUUUCCUCACAUGCGCUCACGUGAUCUAUAUGGAUAUGGUAGAGGCCUACCGCCCUGAGGGUGUGUUGCGGCAGUGUGGGCCUUGCGACCAGUCCCUACCUCUAUACUCCUCGAUGGGUGCCACUUAUAAUUCGAGCGGGCUUCGAGGAGAGUACUUGUCAGAUAUAGCUUCUUGGACGGCAGAAUAAGAGCAGAGGCACAUGCCAAGCAGGGAUCAAUAAUGAUAAACAUACAAACAAAUCAAAUCAAUUUAAACCCAAAAUAAGGAAGAAGCAAAACACAUAAAUUAAAGGACCUCUUCCACAAUCAGAUUUACACAGAGGGCUCAUAAACAACCCUAGAAAAACCAGUGGGUCGCUGCAAUAUUUAUUUUAAACCUUUUAGUUAACUCACACUUCAAUUCAAGAACAAAUUACAAAAUCAAAGUAACUCGUAUUGGACAAAUUGGCAUCAUAUCUAGUUAAGUUUGUAGUAAAAACACAGUAAAUACAAGUUCAGCCAUUUUCAAAUUGGACUGAAUUCAUAUUGUGGCCUUCAUUCAUCCAAGUCUUUGUUUGAUGACACAAAAGUGUAGGCUGAACUCGACCCACCUUUGUUGCACCCAACCGAAAUCACAAAAGCGUUGUAUUUCAGUGCUCAUGUUCAUGUUCCAUAAAUUCAGCAAACAAGCCAACACUAUAAAAGAAGCUAGCAAGCACGACAAAUUCAACAAGCAAAAACAAGCAAGCAAGCACUAUAUUUCCGCAAAACUGUAAUACCAAGCAAGCAAGAACUUUAAAUUAGAUGAAAACUGUAUUUUGGCAAACAGUAACAAUAAGCAGGCAAGCACUAUUCAGCCAACCAGUCGAGUACUAUAAAUUUAGUGUGAAUUUAAGUUGUAGCAUAACAAAAGAUGGCAGGUUCGAUAUUAUAUCAUGGAAUUUUAUAAGUAUAGUGUGAAUUUAAGUUAUAACAUUUAUCAGAAUCAAGCAUUCAGUAUUAGAAGUCUAUACGUUGGUCUUCAUUUCCCACUUUGAAUACCAAUCUUUCAGUAAUUUGAUUAGUUCCAAAUAUGAUUAUGUGACAAGCUGAUAUUGCUGCUUGCUACAAGUUUUUAACCAUAUGCCAUCAGAUAUCUUCGAAAAGCUGUCAAAGGAAUCCAGAAAUAAGCAAACCCCAGCCUUUCCGUUUAUAUGCAACAACAUAACCAGAAAUAAUUCAACAAAAACGGUAAAAUGCAAAAGAAGAAAGCACAAACACUUCACGAACCAGUACUUUGAGGUGAGUGAGACCAUUUACUUUUAGUACAAGGUGGUCACAAUUAAUCUUGAUUAUUGUAUGUGAAAUUAGAUGAAUGUAUUUAUUCCAAUGAUCAAGUUUAAACUUCAAAAGAAAUUUUUUCAAACUUUGUGACAUAUCCAAACUCUUAAAUUUCAUAUUAGAUGGCUGUAAGUAAUUGUGAUCACUUUACAUCAAAGAUAAAUGGUCUUAUUGUAUUCAAUCCCAUUUAAUACAUGUAACUUUAUAUAAUGCGAAUUAAAAGGAUGUAGAGCGUAUAUCCUACUAGUGAUGGAAGCCUUAUAUUUGUAAGAGGUAACUUGGAAAAUUGCA